rnacentral:rRNA from 1 species
AGAGUUUGAUCCUGGCUCAGGAUGAACGCUGGCGGUGCGCCUAAUACAUGCAAGUCGAGCGUGAUCUCUGUCGUAGUAAUAUGAUAGAGUGAAAGCGGCGGACGAGCGAGUAACACGUAAGAACCUACCCCGUACUCAGGGAUAACUUGCCGAAAGGCGGGCUAAUACCGGAUACUCUGGAAACAGUAAAGCUUUUGCGGUAUGGGAGGGGCUUGCGGCCUAUCAGCUUGUUGGCGGGAUAAAAGCCCACCAAGGCAAUGACGGGUAGCUGGUGUGAGAGCAUGACCAGCCGCGAUGGGACUGAGACACGGCCCAUACUCCUACGGGAGGCAGCAGUAGGGAAUCUUCCGCAAUGGACGAAAGUCUGACGGAGCGACACCGCGUGAAGGACGAAGGCUCUCGGGUUGUAAACUUCUUUUCUGGGGGAAGAAAA